rnacentral:lncRNA from 1 species
CCUCCCCUGUGCGCCGUUUGCUAUCGAGUUGGUGUUCUUACCAAUACCCCGCCCUCGGUUCCUUUUUUUGGGGUCUUGCGUGUCAUGUACUUCAACCUCAUCAGGUCCACAGAUGGAUAUUUCUCUGUUAUGUAGCCGCGAAUGGCCUGCGAUGAGACCAUUCGAGAGUCCAACUCCUUCAGCGCUUCUUUAACCAUCACCAUCGUAGGUGGAUGAAGAGAAGUUUUCCGUGCCACAGCAGAUCUUCCUCGGCCCAGUCUAACAGUGAUUCCUGCAGUCAUCAAAGAGAGAGACUCAGUUCAGCUGAACUGUCAGACUCCUUCAUCUGUCUCUGAGUGUUACUUCAAAAUGGAAGGGCAAGUGGAAUUCACCCUACCAUCACCCUGUCAACAGACUCUCACAGGAACACUACUGGUGAGGUGGACAGGUCAGAGUUCACCAGCUGAGGUCAAAAUACAAUGUCAGUACAGUGCUACAGGUUCACAGUUUAGAUCCAUGUUCAGUGAGCCUUCAACAGUCACAAUUCAGGACCUUCCUCAGCUGACAGUGAGUUCUACAGUCAUCAGAGAGACAGAAUCAGUUCAGCUGAGUUGUGAGACUCCUCCAUCUCUCCCUGUGUCUCACUGUUACUUCUACAUAGAGGGGAGGAAGAAUCUUCCAGACUCAUUGUGUACGCAGACAAUAACAGGAACUCAGCUGCUGAAGAGGGCAGAUCAAACAUUUCCAGUUGUGGUCAAAGUGAAGUGUUACUAUGCUGUAUGGAAGUCUCACACAUCUCCGUUUAGUAACUCUGUCUCAGUCACUGUUCAGG